UACGAAGGGGGCUAGCGUUGUUCGGAGUUACUGGGCGUAAAGCGCACGUAGGCGGGUUGUUAAGUCAGGGGUGAAAUCCUGGAGCUCAACUCCAGAACUGCCUUUGAUACUGGCAACCUAGAGACUGGAAGAGGUUAGUGGAAUUCCUGGUGUAGCGGUGAAAUGCGCAGAUAUCAGGAAGAACACCCGUGGCGAAGGCGGCUCUCUGGGACGGUACUGACGCUGAGACGCGAAAGCGUGGGGAGCGAACAGG
rnacentral:rRNA from 1 species